AUAAUAAAUGUACAGACCCAAUUAUUAUCUUUUCCAGACCUUGGGGAAUGUGUGAUUUAAAUGAUGAAUCAAAUCAGACGCGGUUAACAGUGCAGUGAAGCCCCACCCUUAUUCAUGUGCUUCUUAAGAAAUUGUCAAAGGGCCAUUCUAAUUGGUUCAUAUCUUUUACUGGAGGGGGUAAAAUUGGUUUUGUGACCAGGCCAAUCGACUGACUUCUUUGUUGUGUAAACCAAGCCAUCUCUUCCAAACCUGUAGCCCCGGUUUCUGUCCAAUAUAAACCCAUUGUAUUACAAAUUGGGUUAGGUCACUCACACUCCCUGUGCAGUGAAGCCCCAAAUUUAUACAUCAGCUGCUGCAUGCAUCCAUUUAUGUACAGACACAAUUAUUAUCUUUUCCAGACCUUGGGGAAUGUGUGAUUGAAAUGAUGAAUCAAAUGUGGGGAAAAAGCCAAUCUUGGAGUCUGCAAGUUUGCUGAAGUUUAACCAAAAUGAGAGACACAUCUUCAAAAACACAGGUAAGAACACGCCCCUUUCAGCUUGCAACAAUAGCUUGUGGGGGAGGAGCUCUAUGCAACAGGCAUUAUAAAUGCUGGAAUUUCAUGGUGAAGAAUUUACUUUCAAGAUUUUCUGAAGCAAGAAAGCUGUUGCCAUUUCCACUGGUCUCAUCUUGAAAAUGCAUCAAAGUAAAACAGCAAACAGGCACUACUUGCUCUGUCCACGCUGUCUCAAAACACAAGCAAGCCUGUCUGUCCAUUUGCGGAGGGUGUUCACCACAGGUGCUGAUGCGUCAGCAUAUGUGCGAAAGUCCUCCAUGACAUACCCUCCCGAUCCCCGACGGUCAGUCCGACGACCAUGCACUAUUUUCGGACACCUUCUGAGGACAUCCUGCCCCCUCUGGAGGAUGGAAACAAGGGCCUAGAAGAAGAAUAAAAACAUUUUCACCGUUUUUGAGACUAAGUCCAUCCACAUUUAGGCACAGAAUGGAAAUAAAAACGUUUUUGGCCGUUUUUUUUACUAAGCCCAUUUGGACUUGGCUCAGAAGCAGAAUAAAAACAUUGUAACUGUUUUUUGAGUAUAUCCUUGUGGACUUAGACUCAGAAUUGGAAUAAAAACGUUUUUGCCCAUUUUUUUAGUGUCCAGCUCCAGUUAAAGUAUCGCAGAGAGUAGCCUUGUAGUGCUGUGUAAGUGAGAGAUCUUUUUGUCAGUCUUAACGACCCUGUCAUUCACAAAAAACACUUAUUUCGGGAGAGGUAAGCUCUAGAGAUGCGCGGAUGGGCUAUUAUUUCAUCCGCAACCGCAUCACAAA